AACUGCUCCCAACAGUGCAUGGCUGGGACCUCAUCACCAAAAGGAUCUGGAAAAUCUCUACAGCCCUUGUGUUAAAUGAGCAAAGGAAAUGCUGUGCGAGUCCUCGUACAUUGGGAUUUCAAAGAAUCCAUGGCCUAGGACAGUGUGAUGUGUAUCACAGCAACUUGGAGCAAUAGCAGGGAUAGAACUUAGAUCCUUCCUCUCCAAAACCCCAGGUGAAAGAGGAACCUGCUUUUAACUGCUAGCAUUAGAGGACCCGUGACACACAGCUGAGAAAUUCUGAUCCAGUAAAGGUGCAUGCAGUGAUCCUGCUCCUGACGCAGCUCUUCUGCCAUGCGGGAAGCCUAAGAGGAGGCACAGUACAUUCUCAUCAAGCACAACAGACUUUCAAUGCCAGCAGCGGAGCAAACAGGACAACGACCCUGUAUCAACAGCGUGGUAUUUGUUUUCACCUGGACAUUGAUUUCGUUGUGCCUCUCAGUGAUCUCUAGCAGCUCCUGCUCCAGGAGUUUGCGAGAGCGCUCGCUGCCCUCCAGCCCAGUGCGCAUUUCUUCCAGCUCCGUCUGUGUCAGGCUGAGGCGGCGUUCCUGGAGGUUGUACUGUUCCCGGAGUUCCUCGUGCUGGCGAGCAUCUUCAUCCAUCUGAAUCUGAAGAUCCUGAAGGCAAAGGAGGGUUCUCUGAGCUUGGACAAAGAAAACAGACUGAUCCGUCUCCAUCUUCUUCUUGAGCCUGAGCGCUUCAGCCCGCCCCUUUGCCUCCAUCUCCAGACUUGACUGCAGAGACUCAAUUGCACGCUGAUGAUUUUUCCUG